ACAGAGUUUCCUCCCCUGACGGUCAAAUCCUGGCUCCACCCCUUAUAAAACCGGAGUCACAGACACACUGAUGGACGCACAAUCAUAUUAUCAGCACAUGGAUUCAUUCUAAAAGUCACACAGAAAGAAUAUAGCGCCAGUUAACAUUACUCAAUAAAUCUCAAAUCAAUCAGCUACUACAAACAGAAGAAGAAUCAUCAUGGCUGGAAGCAGAGGUUCUCUGCUGCUCUCAAUGCCACACAGCGCAUGCUCUGCCACUCUCCCUACUGACUGUACAUGUUGCUAACACCAGAGGCCAGCCGCGCCGCGUCGCCAGCACGCUCGUGGCCAAGUCGGCCCACAGGGCUGCUAGCUUGGCUCGUUAUGUAGCAGUAUCACAUCAAUAUCAGGCCACGAUGGCCGUUAACAGACAUGACAGAGUUCAC
rnacentral:lncRNA from 1 species